rfam:Pseudomonas entomophila str. L48 chromosome,complete sequence.
UGUGUCUACGGACUGACACAGGCUUUCAAGGAUGGAGGCCAAGGACAUCGCAGGAUGCGAUUCAUCAGGAUGAUGAUUGGGACAAACAGGGACUACGGAAAAAAUGUGGGCGGGUCAAACCGCCCCUUUUUUU